rnacentral:rRNA from 1 species
GACGAACGCUGGCGGCGUGCUUAACACAUGCAAGUCGAACGGAAAGGCCCUGCUUUUGUGGGGUGCUCGAGUGGCGAACGGGUGAGUAACACGUGAGUAACCUGCCCUUGACUUUGGGAUAACUUCAGGAAACUGGGGCUAAUACCGGAUAGGAGCUCCUGCUGCAUGGUGGGGGUUGGAAAGUUUCGGCGGUUGGGGAUGGACUCGCGGCUUAUCAGCUUGUUGGUGGGGUAGUGGCUUACCAAGGCUUUGACGGGUAGCCGGCCUGAGAGGGUGACCGGCCACAUUGGGACUGAGAUACGGCCCAGACUCCUACGGGAGGCAGCAGUGGGGAAUAUUGCACAAUGGGCGGAAGCCUGAUGCAGCAACGCCGCGUGCGGGAUGACGGCCUUCGGGUUGUAAACCGCUUUCGCCUGUGACGAAGCGUGAGUGACGGUAAUGGGUAAAGAAGCACCGGCUAACUACGUGCCAGCAGCCGCGGUGAUACGUAGGGUGCGAGCGUUGUCCGGAUUUAUUGGGCGUAAAGGGCUCGUAGGUGGUUGAUCGCGUCGGAAGUGUAUCUUGGGGCUUAACCCUGAGCGUGCUUUCGAUACGGGUUGACUUGAGGAAGGUAGGGGAGAAUGGAAUUCCUGGUGGAGCGGUGGAAUGCGCAGAUAUCAGGAGGAACACCAGUGGCGAAGGCGGUUCUCUGGGCCUUUCCUGACGCUGAGGAGCGAAAGCGUGGGGAGCGAACAGGCUUAGAUACCCUGGUAGUCCACGCUGUAAACGGUGGGUACUAGGUGUGGGGUCCAUUCCACGGGUUCCGUGCCGUAGCUAACGCUUUAAGUACCCCGCCUGGGGAGUACGGCCGCAAGGCUAAAACUCAAAGGAAUUGACGGGGCCCCGCACAAGCGGCGGAGCAUGCGGAUUAAUUCGAUGCAACGCGUAGAACCUUACCUGGGUUUGACAUGGAUCGGGAGUGCUCAGAGAUGGGUGUGCCUCUUUUGGGGUCGGUUCACAGGUGGUGCAUGGCUGUCGUCAGCUCGUGUCGUGAGAUGUUGGGUUAAGUCCCGCAACGAGCGCAACCCUUGUUCACUGUUGCCAGCACGUUAUGGUGGGGACUCAGUGGAGACCGCCGGGGUCAACUCGGAGGAAGGUGGGGAUGACGUCAAGUCAUCAUGCCCCUUAUGUCCAGGGCUUCACGCAUGCUACAAUGGCUGGUACAGAGAGUGGCGAGCCUGUGAGGGUGAGCGAAUCUCGGAAAGCCGGUCUCAGUUCGGAUUGGGGUCUGCAACUCGACCUCAUGAAGUCGGAGUCGCUAGUAAUCGCAGAUCAGCAACGCUGCGGUGAAUACGUUCCCGGG